AGUGAACGCUGGCGGUAGGCCUAACACAUGCAAGUCGAACGGCAGCACAGUAAGAGCUUGCUCUUACGGGUGGCGAGUGGCGGACGGGUGAGGAAUACAUCGGAAUCUACUUUUUCGUGGGGGAUAACGUAGGGAAACUUACGCUAAUACCGCAUACGACCUACGGGUGAAAGCAGGGGAUCUUCGGACCUUGCGCGAUUGAAUGAGCCGAUGUCGGAUUAGCUAGUUGGCGGGGUAAAGGCCCACCAAGGCGACGAUCCGUAGCUGGUCUGAGAGGAUGGUCAGCCACACUGGAACUGAGACACGGUCCAGACUCCUACGGGAGGCAGCAGUGGGGAAUAUUGGACAAUGGGCGCAAGCCUGAUCCAGCCAUACCGCGUAGGCGAAGAAGGCCUUCGGGUUGUAAAGCCCUUUUGUUGGGAAAGAAAAGCAGCAGGUUAAUACCCCGCUGUUCUGACGGUACCCAAAGAAUAAGCACCGGCUAACUUCGUG
rnacentral:rRNA from 1 species